rnacentral:lncRNA from 12 species
UGUUGAAAAACUCAUGACAUAGUAAUUGUAGCUCCACCCACUGUUGACAGCUGCACCCUAUUCUGACUCCAAUUAAGGGCCUUUAAAAAGGGUUGCUUUAGAGCAGCAAUCAGUUCACUCCUUGUUUACUGCUCUGGAUUCUUUCAUAUGGUGUUGUGGCUGUGUACAGAUGUAAGUUUACUGUUUGUUUUGUAUGGUUUGGAUUUUGUUUGUAAUUCCUUUGAUUGUUUAACUUUAUUUGUUUAUCUUGUUUAAGUUCAGAAACCAGUCUGAUACACCUGUUGGAAGAAUGAUGUACUGGCAUUGGUGAAAUAAACAUGCAAAUGGAUGUUGUCUCAAGGUGUUUUAACUGACAUCCCAUUGUGAUGCUCCCCCUACGAAUAAGUAAUAUCCUAAGAGUCUUUUACAACUCCUAUUUGUUCUUUUAUUGGUACUUCUAAUAAAAUAAAUGAAAGCUGAAGAGCAGAAUACAUUUAAAUUUCAUGGAAGCAGAUUUAGAAUGAGAUCCAACUGUAGGGCAGCAAUUAGUUUACAGCUGAUAUAUGGUUCAGCAAUUAGCUCAUUACGGAACCUCUUAUAGCAAUAACACAUAAAUCAGAAUAAAAGCAAACCAUACAAAUGAUUGUAGUCAUUUAAUGUAGUUACUGAACUAAAUCUGAUAUAUUGGUAGAACUGAUAACUUGGUAUUCCAGCACUUCCAUUAAGAAAAAAUAACUGAUCCCAGAUCGGUGUAGUGAUCUUACAGUAUUAACAACAACUGGAUUCUGGAGUUAUUGUUACCAUGGUAGUUUUUGGCAGUCAGAGUGACUGUGCUUAAGUUUAUGAGUGAUAAAAGUAUAAACAGAAGUUUCAAGCCCAGCCUCCUACAUGAAUGAGGUAGCAGGAAGUGAACUGAGCUACUAAACCACAGAAAUAUGCACGCACGUACUUUCUCUGGAUCACCUCCCCUCUGUUCACUUCGCUGCACAAGCCCAAAGAGGAAAAGACUCCCGGUUACUGAGCUCGGCUUGUUUACAUUCACCCCAUUUCUCGAGAAGUCAGUCGUUAGAACGCAGAAAGUGAGGAUGACUGUGCAGAAGACACAGAUGGACUCAUAGGCGGAUCGGUUCACAACGUGAAAGCAACGCCACCACAGAGCUAAUGCCUGGAGAGCUGUGACACAUCCGUGUGUGUUUGUGUGAUGGGGGUG